ensembl:miRNA
GCGGCGGUGCUCUGCCUCUUUCUCCACCACCCUGGUCCAGGUCCACAGCAGUGGGGAGAGAAAAGAAACAGAAGGAUGGCCGU